GAGAGACUAGCUCAUUUGGAUAGAGCGCGAGCCUCCGGAGCUCGAGGUGGCGGGUUCAAAUCCCGCGUCUCUCA
rnacentral:tRNA from 1 species